GCCAGGCAUGGUGGCGCACACCUGUAAUCCUAGAGGCUAGGGAGGCUGAGGCAGGAGGAUCUCGACUUCAAAGCCAGCCUCAGCAACAAUGAGGCACUAACAACUCAGGGAGACCCUGUUUCUA
rnacentral:sRNA from 1 species